CUUGCUGAAAAAGUAAACAAGAGAAUGACGGGGAUGCCAAGUUGUUGAGCUGCAGGGGUUGUGAAUGGCAUGAAACCAUCUGAAAAAAUGCAUGUCACUGGAGGAGUACUACUACUAUUGUUGAGUUUCUUUAUCAGAUCAACGAAAGGUGCCAACAAGUUGUUUGUGACGGAAUCUGCAAGCAAAUUGAGGUCUUGGGUGGCAUCUUCAUCCGAAUCCGGUAGGCCAUCUGGGAUCGUUUCAAACCGAAAAUCAUCAGGCAAGCCAUAGAGGGACUCGGGUCCUUGAGAUUUAACUAACCGCCUAUGAUUGAACUCGGUGUUGACAUAGGUUAUACGAAAACCUUAAUGGUGGAGAAGUUUUGCUAAUUGAAGCAUUGCCUUUAUGUGACCUUGAGCCGGAGCUGGAAUACAAACAGCAUGAGGCUUGUUAGAACACAUCUCAGAUUUGUGGAUCUCAGCAUGGCAAGUGCCUUCGCCCAUGAGCGGUAGGUCUCGGGUUCGAGACUUGGGAGCAGCCUCUCCAUAAAUGGGGGUAAGGCUAGCCGACAUUUACCUCUCCUAGACCCUACGUAAAGCGGGAGCCUUGUGCACUGGGUACGACCUUUUUAGAGUGUAUGCUUACUGUAUGAGGGUAUUUUAACAGCAAACGUGUAUGGAUCUAUGAAUUUGUAGUUUGUCUUGAGACAAUGAGUGGUGCAAACUUACAAAAAGUAAGGGCCGGAUGUCAAUAAUUUUGGCAGUGCGACACCCCCACCCCCACACCCCCCAACCCCUCUUUCAAGAUGACAUUUAAGUGGCAAAGACCAUCACGUAAUGAGUACUAUUGCCUAGUUCCCGCAACUCUACCCUAAUAAGUUUUGCAUUUCCCUUCAUUUGCAGAGGACCCUCACUAUGCCUCAAUUCUAAAUGCGUUAUUACAAUAAUUUAAAGGAGGGAAGUUUUGAACUCGGAUUACAUGGGUAGAAAGUUAGAAACCCAACACUUUAUCUAUUAGGAUGUUGGACCACGUGGAUGACAUAGAUUUCAAUGUGCUGAAAACACGGUAUAGUACACCAAAUGUCAUAAUACAAGUAAUUGAAUACUUGAAAAAACAAUUUACAACAAUUUGUAUUAUGACAUUUGGUGUACCGAAUCACAUUCUUAGCACAUGAAAACAUAAUUUCAAAGGCUUAGAACCUUUUGCUCAUGCCGCCCCUAUUUUCUAUGCAUUUUAGUUCAACACUAGUUAUUAGUGCCCACACGUUGCUACGGGAUUGAAAAUUUUAUGAAAAAUUAUGCAACUUCAUUCUCUUCAUAAGCAAUGUUUGAGUUAAUUUUGUUCCACUUAAGCAGCAAUGAUAAAUUGUAGAAAGGUAGAAUUAACGCAUGCCAAAUGUAUUUCAAUGGCACUAAUUAUAUAGAAUUGGAAGGUCAAAUAAAACAUAUAUAGCCACAAAAUAGUAACUGGUGCAGAUGAGAUUAAUCAACAUCUACCAAAUCAAAAGUAGAUGUACAAUUGAAAUAAUAAACCUUGUUUUUUGUUGAAAAAGUCAUGCAACGAGGGGAACAUGAUAAACCGGAUAGAACACUAUGAGAACCAGUUUGGAAGAAUUUUCCAUAGUGAUUCUUUCGUGCAACAACUACCAUGAACUUUGGAGACCACCCUUCAUCAAGAAGCUUGCAGGCCUGAAAUACAUACAUAUAUAUAUAUAUAUAUGUGUGUGUGUGUGUAAGAAAAUUUAGAUUUGAACAUUUCCUAUUUCGAAGAAAGAAUUAGAAAAAACAUUUAAACUGGCGAAGGUUCAAUUCAUCAUUUAAGACUUGGUUAAACUGUGAUUAACUCACUCCAUCUGUAAACAAAAGAAACCCAAACCAAGUUCAGCAAGAAUUAUUAGGGGUGGUUCGGUAUGGGAUAUCGAACCGAAACCUUAGUCCCGAUUCCCAAACCGAAAAUUUCGGGAUUCACAAUUUCAAGACCGAUCCCAAACCCAAUUUUCAGGAAUCCCGAAAUAAUUUUGGUAUUUCGGGACAAUGAGAAUCCCGAAAUAUUUUUGAACUUUUCAGCUAUAAUAACUUGGUUGUGGCUGUGCAGUGUGCAAAAUAGCAAAUCUGCACUGCAUAUCUUGGAUGUGCAGUGAAGUGAUCAUCAUAAAAGAACAGCACCACCUAUCCAUUAAACACCACGAAAUGAGCAAGACCAUUUAUUAAUUUGAAACAUAAUAUCAACACAUGAGUCAUGCCUAAUAAAUUUCCAGAUUAACUAUCAAUUUUCAGUUUUCACUACUUAUUUCAACCACUUAACAAAUACACACAUUGCCCAUAAUUAUAUUCCAAAAAGGAUGUUGUGUAAAGCAAACCCAAGUAUACAAUAUACUAUAGAAAGUGUUCACCUUUAGCUAAAAUUUGAAGCCAGACUAGUGAUAAAGAUAACAGUAGAAAUUAUGUUUGGCUUCGGUUGUAGUGAUAAACAUCUGUAGAAACAUGACUCCCACACAUUUUACAUUAUUACAUAUGUUGAUGCACAAAAUCAGUGAGAACUUUGGUAAAACAUAAAGUGUUAAGUUUGUGACCUUCGUUAGAUUACUCCGAUCACUAGUGUGGAUAAGUAUGCAAAUGGAUAAAGACAGGGAAGCAAACACAAGAUGUACGUGGUUCACCCAGAAUGGCUACAUCUACGGAGUAGAGGAGUUCUCAUUAAUUGUGAAGGGUUUACACACGUACAUAGGUUCAAACUCUCAUUUUGUGAGUACUAGUGAAUGAUUUAGUACCAAUGACAUUAGGAAACAUUGUGAGAGAAUGAUCUCUAAUUAUAGAAGAGAGUUUGAAGUUUCAUUCUGACAUUGACACGUGUUGUGUUGUGAUUGGCUUCUGAUGUUAACACGUGUCGCGCUAUGAUUGGCUUCUGAUGUCGACACGUGUCGUGUUGUGAUUGGCCUCCUAGUUGGAGGGAAACUCUUCUGGGUCCUUGACGGUAUAACGUUGACCGGUGCUCAAUAGUUUCGGGAUUGGUCAAGUAUAGUACAAACAGUGUUCUCCUAAGUUCCCGAGUGAGGGAAGCUCCUCGGUUGGGGACUUGUAAGAUCCAAGCCAUUGAGUAAUCACGACACUUCUAAGUACCGAAGUGUGGUAUCAUUUUCACUUGCCUUAUCUGUCUCAUAUGUAGAUGUGGCAUCUUCUCUAGAAGUACUUUUCCUCCAUCCAGGGGUGGUAUCUUUAACCGAUGAAGAUGCACAAGGUAAUGUAUCAAUUUCACUUGAAGCUUACUCGUAGUUUCGAGCUUGGUCAAGUGCGAUAUAAACCCUAUAGUAGGAGUCCCCCAAGUCGCCGAGCUAGGAGAUUUGCCGAAGGAGGUAACAGACAAGGUGAGCAAUCAAACUUCCAUGCAAGCAACCUGGAUUGGAGGUUCGACUUCAGCUUCCGGUUGAUUGUUUCUCAUUCUCCUUGUGUCGUAAAUAGCACCAAGGAUAAGGAGAAGCAAAUGGAUAAAAGCUGAUAUGAGAUAUUUUUGCUUUUGAAGAAGUAACUUUCCACAGGCUUAUUCUUGAACUAGGCUGGAGGGUUUUCUGGUUUCCUCCAGAGUAUAAGGCCGACUCAAGAAUUUGAAGGUCAAAACAAGUCCAUCAAAUCUAGAGUACGUUUGACCCUGAUGAUAUGGGAUACUUUUGUUGUUGACAAAGUAGUGGAUGUAUCGGCACAUGUUAUGUUAUACUUGUCUCCACAUGCUUCCUUGUAUCCUUCUCACUUGCCCUAUCUGUUCCUCAGGCAGAUGUGGUAUAUUCUCUGGAAGCAUAAGAUGUUGAAGAUGAGUACUCGAGAGCAAUGCCAGGUAAGUAAUCAGGCAAGGGGUUCCUGACUGGAAACUUGAUUCCAAGUGUUGACUGAUUGCUCUCUUUUUCCUUGUCUUGCAGGUAAGAACAAGGCCAAAGGAAAAGACAGGGAAAAAGCAUGAUAUGGGAUACUCUUGCUUUUAACCCUGAUGAUAUGAGAUACUCUUACUCUGGUGUGGCUUGUUUGCAGAGGUAUUAUUAGGAGGAAAAGAAGCUGAAUAUUUCGAGAGACUCUGCUGAGAGUGCCCUCUCGGAUGUGAAGAAAAGUUGAGCAUUUUUUUUAUUUGCAGGUCUGCCUGGCUAUGGAGGAUGGAGGUCAACAUAUAUAGGAGUCUCCCUAACAACAAGUAGUAGUGCUAUUCCUUUACCCUUCUUGGUCAUAGCAAUGUAGUGGGAGCUGCAAGCUUCACGUGUUUUAACUUUGUCAUAGCACUUUGAAAAAGUGGUAUGUGGUAUCUAGAAAGCUGAGGUUGCGUAUGAAGAUUGCAGACAAGUUUUAUCCAAGGAAAUCUGGCUCUCGAAGUUCGGAAAGAGGUGCCUCUUCGGUUUUCAAACAAGCAAUCAUGUCGGGGAUCUAGCUCUCGAAAUUCAGAUAACGAUGCCUUUUUGAUUUUUGAGAAAGCAAUCAUGUUGGGAGUCUGAUUCUUGAGAUUCAGAUAACAAUAUCUCUUCGAUUUUUGAGAAAGUAAUCCUGUUGGAGUCUGGCUCUCGAGAUUCGGAGGGCGGUGCCUCCUCGAUUUUUUAGCACGUAAUCGUGUUGGGAGUCUGGCUCUCGAGAUUCAGAGAGCGGUGCCUUUUCCAUUUUUGAGAAAGCAAUCUUGUUGGGAGUCUGACUCUUGAGAUUUUGAGAGCAGUGUCUCUUCGAUUUUUUAGAAAGUAAUCAUGUUGGGAGUCUGGCUCUCGAGAUUCUGAGAGCAGUGUCUCUUCGAUUUUUGAUAAAUUAAUCCUGUAGGGAGUCUGACUUUUGAGAUUCGAAGAAUAGUGUCUCUUCGAUUUUUGAGAAAGUAAUCCUGUUGGAGUCUGGCUCUUGAGAUUCGGAGAGCAGUGUCUCUUCGAUUUUUGAUAAAGUAAUCAUGUUGGGCGUCUGGCUCUCGAGAUUUAGAGGGCGGUGCCUCUUCAAAUUUUUAGCACGUAAUCCUGUCAGGAGUCUGCCUUUCGAGAUUGGAGAGUUGUGCCUCUUCGAUUUUUUAGCAAGCAAUCUUGUUGGGAGUGUUUUCUCGAAUGUGGGUAAAGGUUUGGCAUUUUUGCCAGUCUGCCUUGCCACGGACCACAGACGUUGACACACAUUAGGACUUUUUAGUUAUCAAGCAGUAGUGCUGUUCCUUUACCCUUGUGGGUAAUAAUAGGGUAGCUGGACCUUCAAAGUGGUGCCUCUUUGAUUUUUGAACCAACGGCCCUGUUGCCCUUUCUUUUAUAAGGGCACCAAUUGUGUGCAAAAAAUACAUUCAGAGAGUUAUUGCUUUUAGGAAUUUUCCCCUUACUUCAGAGAUUUAUUGCACCUCAUUUCUUCUUCAUCAUUUCUGAGAAUGUCUGGCCUAUCCAACCCUCGUUUUGACUUGAACUUUGGUGAAGAGGCAGCCAUGCCUUCUCAAGACAACAUAUGGCGCCCAUCUUUCUUAUCCCCUACUGGUCCUCUUACCGUUGGGGACUCUAUGAUGAAGAAUGAUAUGAUUGCUGCGGUGGUGGCCAGGAACCUUCUCACUCCCAAAGAUAACAUAUUACUUUCCAAACGGUCUAAUGAGUUAGCUGUUAAGGAUUCUCUGGCUCUCAGUGCUCAGUGUGCAGGUUCUGUGUCUAAUAUGGCCCAACGCCUAUUUGCUCAAACCCGCCAAGUUUAAUCAUUGGCGGCUGAAGUGAUAAGACUUAAACAGGAGAUCAUAUGGCUCAAGCAUGAGAAUAAAUAGUUAUACAGGCUCGCACAUGACUAUGCUACAAACAUGAAGAGGAAGCUUGACUAGCUGCAGGAAUCUGAUGGUCAGAUUUUGCUUGAUCAUCAGAGGUUUGUGGGUUUGUUCCAAAGGCAUUUAUUGCCUUCGUCUUCUGGGGCUGUACCGCGUAAUGAAGCUCCAAAUGAUCAACCUUCGGUGCCUCCUCCUUCUGGGGUUCUACCUAGUACUGAGGCUCCGAAUGAUCACCCUCUGGUGCCUACUAUUUCUGGGGCUCUGCCGACUGCUGAGACUUCUCAUGAGCAACCUUUGUGAACGCUCCCUCUUGUUUGUUUAUUUUGAUUCAUGUAUAUGUACAUAUUUGUAACUUAUCGGAGAUAUCAAUAAACAAGCUUUGCUUCAUUUCAACGUAUUAUGUUAAAUACAUCAAGGCCUUCUUCACUAAGUUCUUUGAAUUUUUUCUUUUGUUGAAGCUUGUAUGUUGAAGCUUUGAGAGUGAAGCAUGUAUGUUGAGAUAAUGCUCCCUUAAUUUCCCGAGUGAGGAAAACUUCUCGGUUGGAGACUUGAAAAAUCCAAGUCACUGAGUCGUCGUGAGACUUCUGAGUAUCAAGGUGCAGUAGCAUAUGGUAGGAGUCCCCCAAGUCUUCGGUCGAGGAAGUUGACGAAUGAGGCAUUUCCUUUUUAAGUGGUAGCCCAAAACUCCUCAUUCAUAUAUAUUUGUUAUGAAAGUUGUUAGGCCCAAAGAAAAUGAGGUCUAGGCAAUUUUUUUUUUUAAUUUUCGAAUUUUUGAAUUUUUGAAUUUUUGAAUUUUUGAAUUUUUGAAUUUUUGAAUUUUUGAAUUUUUGAAUUUUUGAAUUUUUUAAUUUCCGAAAAAAAUAUAUAUAUAUAUAUAUAUUAAGCUUUGUAGGUGAAGCUUUGGUGUUGAAGCUUUGUAAGUGAAGCUUUGAGGUUGAAGCUUUGUUGGGCACCAUGAAUUGAUUUUGCUUCACACUAUCUUGAUCAAGAUUGUGUGAAGCUUUUGUAGGUGAAGCUUUUGUGUUGAAGCUUUUGUAGGUGAAGCUUUUGUGUUGAAGCUUUGUAGGUCAAGCUUUUGUGGGUCAAGCUUUUGUAGGUCAAGCUUUUGUGGGUCAAGCUUUUGUAGGUGAAGCUUUCGUGUUGAAGCUUUUGUGGGUCAAGUUUUUGUGGGUGAAGCUUUUGUGUUGAAGCUUUGAAGUUGAAGCUUUGUAAAUGAAGCUUUGGAGUUGAAGCUUUUGUUAUGUACCAUGAAUUGAUUUUGCUUUACACUAUCUUGAUCAAGAUAGUGUGAAGCUUUUGAGAAUUUGUAGUUGUCCUCCAUUGAUGAAACUUUUGUUGGUGAAGCUUUUGUGGGUGAAACUUUUGUGUUGAAGCUUUUGUAGGUGAAACUUUUGAGUUGAAGCUUUGUAGGUGAAGCUUUGAAGUUGAAGCUUUUGUUGGGUACCAUGAAUUGAUUUUGCUUCGCAUUAUCUUGAUCAAGACAGUGUGAAGCUUUUGAGAAUUUGUAGUUGUCCUCCAUUGAUGAAGCUUUGUUGAAUUUCCCUUUUUUUUUUUUUUUUGGGAAACUAGAAAUUUGAAAAUGUGAGAGAGACAACAUAUACAAAUUUUGCUUCCACAUUGUUGAGCAUGAGAUUGUAAUGCAAGAUGAGAUUGUAAUGCAAGCUACAUCUUGUAGUAGUCGAAGGUUUGGAUGAACCACAUAAAUUGAAUUUGCUUCGAACAGUCUUGAAUUUGCUUCGAAGGUUUGAGAAUUGUAGUUGCCCUCCAUUGAUGAAGCUUUUGUUGGCACCAUAAAUUGGUUUUGCUUCACACUGUCUUGAUCAAGAGUGUGUGAAGCUUUUGAGAAUUGUGGUUGAACUCAUUUGAUGAAGCUUUUGUUGGCCCCAUAAAUUGGUUUUGCUUCACACUGUCUUGAUUAAGAGUGCGUGAAGCUUUUGAGAAUUAUUGUUGCCCUCCAUUGAUGAAGCUUUUGAGAAUUGAAUUGAUUUUGUUUCACACUAUCUUAAUCAACAAUGUGUGAAGCUUUUGAGAAUUGUGGUUGAACUUCUUUGGUGAAGCUCUUGUUGGCACCAUAAAUUGGUUUUGCUUCACAUUGUCUUGAUCAAGAGUGUGUGAAGCUUUUGAGAAUUGUGGUUGUCCUCCAUUGAUGAAGCUUUUGUUGGCACCAUAAAUUGGUUUUGCUUCACACUGUCUUGAUCAAGAGUGUGUGAAGGUUUUGAGAAUUGUGGUUAAACUCUUUUGAUGAAACUCUUGUUGGCACCAUAAAUUGGUUUUGCUUCACACUGUCUUGAUCAAGAGUGGGUGAAGCUUUUGACACUUGUGGUUGCCCUCCAUUAUUGAAGCUCUUGUUGGCACUAUAAAUUGGUCUUGAUUUACACUGUCUUGAUCAAAAGUAUGUGAGGCUUUUGAGAAUUAUGGUUGAACUCCUUUGAUGAAGCUCUUGUUGGCACCAUAAAUUGGUUUUGCUUCAUACUAUCUUGAUCAAGAGUGUGAAGUUUUCUACGAGUUGUAGUGUUUGCAUUGUUACAAAGGGGAAAUGUCUGAAACAGAUGUAAAAGGGUUGAAUAGCUUGAUCUUCGUAUGCCAUGCACUAAAGUUGUUGUUGGCUUGCAAUAAGACUUUGUUGUUUACUAUAACUCUUGUUGGACAUAAGUUCUCCUCUAGUUGAGUUGUCAAGCUUGAGGGGUUUUUAUUAUUUUUGAAUGCUAGGAGUUCACAUGUACAAGUUAUACCACUCGUCUUCUGGUAGGUGGAAUGAAUAGUGAGUUGCUUUCAUCACUUGGUUGGUGGUACGAAGCUGAGUUCCUUCAUCACCUUUCAUCACAUUUCAUCACCUAGUUGGUGGAACGAGGAUGAGUUCCUUCUUCACCUGGUUGGUGGCAUGAAUGGCAAGUUGCCAAAUGAUAUUAGAGUACGGGUUGUACAUUUCAUCACCUGAUUGGUGGCAUGAAGAUGAGUUCCUUCUUCAUGAGUGGCAAGUUGCCAAAUGAUAUUAGAGUACUAGUUGUACAUUUCAUCACCUGGUUGGUGGCAUGAAGAAGAGUACGGGUUGUACAUUUCAUCACCUGGUUGGUGGCAUGAAGAUGAGUUCCUUCUUCACCUGGUUGGUGGCAUGAGUGGCAAGUUGCCAAAUGAUAUUAGAGUAUGUGUUGUACAUUUCAUCACCUGGUUGGUGGCAUGAAGAAGAGUACGGGUUGUACAUUUCAUCACCUAGUUGGUGGCACGAAGAUGAGUUCCUUCUUCACCUGGUUGGUGGCAUGAGUGGCAAGUUGCCAAAUGAUAUUAGAGUACGGGUUGUACAUUUCAUCACCUAGUUGGUGACAUGAAGGAGAGUAUGGGUUGUAUAUUUCAUCACCUGGUUGAUGGCAUGAGUGGCAAGUUGUCAAAUGAUAUUAGAGUACGGGUUGUACAUUUCAUCACUUGGUGGUGGCAUGAAGAUGAGUUCCUUCUUCACAUUUCAUCACCUGGUUGGUGAGAAUAAGGGCAAGGUGUCGAGGCACAUUGUAGCAAGUGUCGAAGACACAAAAUAUGUUGAACCCUUUCGAAGCACAAUUGGCUUAUGUAUGGAUGUGUUGGAAUGUAUGAUGUUUAUGUAUGAAUGUGUUGGAAUGUAUGAUGUUUAUGUAUGAAUGUGUUGGAAUGUAUAAUGUUUAUGUUGAUUGAUAUGAGUGAUGCUUAUGAAUGUUUUGCUAUGCAUGAAGGGAUCCAUGUUUUUUAUAUGUGAACCAUGUUGGUUGUAACACUUAGUAUCACAUACUUUGUGUCAAAGUAUGCAUGUUGAAGCUCUGAGUUAGAUUAUAAGGAUAGGUCAGCGUAGAGCAAGUGUUCCAGUGCUAGGAAUGCAAAAGACUCAAAAGAAGUUGUCUGAAUUCCCUCUUCUUUAAAUAUUUGCCGAAUGGCUUGUGUGACAAAAGAUCUCAGGCGGUUGAGAGUCAAAACAUUUGUAAUGUGUAUGCCUUCUUAUAAUAGCAUUUCUUUCAGUACCUAGUCCUCCACUUUGAAAGAGUAAGGCUUGGCCCUAUAGUUAUAAUAGUCGACUAUACGUUCACCCCUGGUUGUCUUGAUACGAACUUUUAUCCUUCUUGUUGUAAUAGGCUUGCUGAGAGUAAAAAUCUUUCCUCUUACCAAGAGACAGAUACGUUUGGUGACUUAGCGAGUAGCUAAAUGAGGCAGGAGAUGAUGCAAUAGGUGUCUGAAUGGUCAAGAUCUCCUCACUUGGUAGAACUUGACUUCCACUUCCCACUUGUUGAUAGAGGUUAACCAUAUGGGGGUUCCCUUGGUAUGUCCUUGCUUCGGCGGACGCGUGGUUGUAAGCAUGUGCCAUCACCUCAGAGUAAGUUUUCCAAGUGUUGGCAUUAAUCAUGUACUUGAAGAAACAAUCACGUAGGCCUGCCGUGAAGGCCUUUAGGGCGGUCUUGUCAUUUGCCUCAGCGCAGCGAGAAUACUCAUGGCUGAAACGACCAGCAUACUCUCGUAGUGACUAGUGUACAAGUCAUCUGUAGAAUGCAAGCGAUCAGUCUGGAAGAUGUGUUGAGAGACAAACAGUUUCCUUAGUUCCUCAAAUGAGUUUACUGUCUCAGGUGGAAGACGACAAUACCAGUUUAGAGCUCCGCCAGAGAGGGUGGAGGGGAAGAGAAGACAUCGCUCUUUAUCGAUGUUCAUUCGAUAUGCCAUGGUAGACUCAAAGAGGUUAAGGUGUUCAAUUGGGUCCUCCCUUCCAGUGUAGAGUUGUAAACCAAGCUUUUGUUUUGUCUUCGCUUGAAGGGGGUGUCGAAGAUCCUUCUUGUAAGAGGGCCAGGCCUGGGUUUGUUCCAGUCAGGUAUCUCGGCCUGACGUUCGGCCUUCAACUUAUUUACUUCUUCAAAGAGCUAUAGGAUAAUGGGGUCUUGAGUGGAGUCAUAUACCACUGGAAUUUUCUUUCGUAAGUCUCUAUCGCUUCUUGGAAGUAGGAAAGUUUAAGCAAGGGCGUGUGGUUUUUUCUUGGACUCGCCAUACUGACUUCUAGGGCGACUCUGUUGGAAUACCUCAGAGUCCCAUGUACCUUCAUGUUCCUCUGGGACCGGUUGUUCCUUCCCUAGAUUGGCAACUGGCCUGGGUCGUGAGAGGGGAUCGAGUCUUUCAGAAACCCUUAGGUCAUUGAUCUUCGAGCAUAUGUUGAGGGGAUUCUCUCGACGUUGCUUUAGGAAGUCUCGGCAGUAAGAAUAAACAGUUUUCGAUCCUUCCAACCCUUCUGCAAUGAGGUAUCUUUCUCCACUUCUCCUGCUUCGUGUUGAAGCAUCUCGGUUGAGAGAAGUCUCAUGUUGAUCAAUAUUUUGAUGAUUAGCUCGCUCCUCAUCAGGGAUAACCAUGUCGAAGGGAGGUGACCCUCUGUGUUAUGGGGUACCCAGAUGAUGGUUGAUGUCCACAAGGGCAACGAGCUCGCGUGUUUGAGUACGCCUAGUUUCGUGGAGCGUCUCAAAGAGCUUUUCAUACUGCUCCUGGAUGACCUCAUUCUUCAUUGUUAUCUUAUUGUUCUAAGCUUCUAGCUCAUCAACUUUAGCUUGAAGAGCAACCCUUUUUCCUUCUUUCUUUCGUUGCUUCGCACUUGGUGCAAGAGGGGUGUCAUUUUGUGUGUUGUGGCUUCCUUUGCUCCCCAUGUUGGAAAGGGAUGCCUGGUCAAAAGAAAGUGUACAAAUGGUGGAAACCAGCUUGAUAAAGCUGAAGAGAGUGGGAAUAAGUGUCGUUCCCACAAACGGCGCCAAAUGUUGAUGCACAAAAUUAGCGAAGACUUUGGUACAACAGAAAGUGUUAAGUUUGUGACCUUCGCUAGAUUGCUCCGGUCACUAGUGUGGAUAAAUAUGCAAAUGGAUAGAGACAGGGAAGCAAAUACAAGAUGUAUGUGGUUCACCCAGAUUGGCUACGUCCACGGAGUAGAGGAGUUCUCAUUAAUUGUGAAGGGUUUACACAAGUACAUAGGUUCAAGCUCUCCUUUUGUGAGUACUAGUGAAUGAUUUAGUACUAAUGACAUUAGGAAAAUAUUGUGAGAGAAUGAUUUCUAUUUAUAGAAGAGAUUUUCUAGUUUCAUUCUGACAUUGACACGUGUCGUGUUGUGAUUGGCUUCUGAUGUUAACACGUGUCGCGCUAUGAUUGGCUUCUGAUGUCGACAUGUGUCACGCUGUGAUUGGCCUCCUGGUUGGAGGGAAACUCUUCUGGGUCCUUGAUGGUAUAACAUUAACCGGUGCUCAGUAGUUUCGGGAUUGGUCAAGUAUGGUACAAACAACAUAUAUAGUUGUUGGUAAACCUUUUCAUAUGCCAUGAUGAUCCAAGUGACUUCAUUCAAACCAAUUGCUCACCACACCAUUUUUUUUUUCUUAAGAUAUCUCAUUUCAUAUUUGUCCUUCCAUACCACCAAAUAUAUAUACUCUUUCAAGACUCAUCAUGUCAACAGAUGAACAUACAUUGAAGUUUGAACAAUCGUGUAUACGAAAAAACAAAAUAGCUUAUAAUUAUAUCAGGGGGCAAAAACUAGAGUUUACUAGGUUCCUUCAGAAUCUCUUCUACGACUGACCUAAUUUGAGUUAGAGAAGUGGGAUAUGAACUUAUAGUUUACAUGUGUGCAAGUGUUCCCGUGAGUGAGGAUCUGUGCAUGUGUAAACAGUUUAAAAGCAUAGAUAAUGUCAUGCUUUGAUGACCAUUCCAGCAAAACGUUUUACAAGGAACAAAGAAACAAAAGUAAAAAGCUUUGAUUGCAGAAGGUAUUUUAGAAAACAUGAUUUACGUCAGGCUUCCUCCCCCCUCCCCCUUUUAACCUCUCAUUCCCUUUAUAACCUCUCCGUCGAUUCAAAAUCCCUAAUUUUAAAAGCCCUAAUUCAAAAACCCUAAUUUCAGAAUUCCUAAUUCAAAAACCCAAAUUCAAAAUCCCUAAUCGAAUUUGGAAUCAAACAAUUUGUAUGAACUUUGGUUGAGUUUAUUGCAGAAAUUUCUUACCUUUUGCAGUGAGGAAGAGUACGGACUGAGACCGAGAGCUUGAUUCAGGGGCCGAAUUCGGGUGGUAUGGACAGUGUGUGAAGGCGCGAUUCUGGUGAGGAGUGAGGACUGAGAGGAAUGAGGACUGGUGUGGGUAGAUUCGGGAUUCAGGCGAUGAAUGUGGGAGGAGAGACAAAUCGGCGAGGAGAGUGGUGAGGUUUCGUUCAAAAGAUAAUGAGGUGAGGUGAGGUGAGGUGAGGUGAGGUUUUGAGUCUGAGGUGAGGUGAGUGUCGAGAGACCGAGAGAGAGAGUCGAAGACUGGGUUUAAUAACUUUGAUUUAUAUUCAACGGUUGAGAUUCAAUCUCAACAGAAUCCGACGACUAUUAAAAUUCUAAAUAUAUAUUUAAAAAUUAAAUAAUAUAUAUAUAUAUAUUUUUUUUUUCGGUUCGGUUUGGGAUUACCGAAAUCCCAAAAACUUGAGACCGAUUCCCGUACCGAAAUUUCAAGAUCGGUUCGGUAUUGGGUACUGAAAUUUUUGGGAAUUUCGGUUUGGGAUUUUUUCGGUUCGGUUUCGGGAAUUUUUCGGUUUGGUUUGGAAUUUUUAGGAUUUUUUUCUAGCCCUAAGAAUUAUGCACGACCUUUUCGAAAACUAUAUAAUGAAUUAUAAAAAAAUGUUAAACAAACAUGGACCGGAGGUCUUAAAAUUCAUUUAAAUGAAAAAUGGUAAAUUUGGUUCAUUUGAGAUGCUAACCUUUCGAAAUACGAUACUAAUCAAAGUUGCAUAUAAGGAUGAAAUGCAUUAACACUUACACUUAAUCACAUAAAACUAACAAAAUUCUAAUUUGUUUUCUACUCAAUGUUCUAGGAAAUUGCCUAAAGGUCGUAUCCAGUGCACAAGGCUCCCGCUUUACGCAGUGUCUGGGAGAGGUGAAUGUCGGACCCUGCGUAAAGCGGAAGCCUACAGGUCAAGAUGACUGCCUGCCUUUUUAUUUAAACCACAAAUAAACACUUGCAAUAGUUUCCUGAUGACGAUGGAGGGCAUAAUCAAAAUGAAUUUAACUCUUUAUAUAUGUGGCAUUACUCUUUUGAAUAAUACUACAUCUGAAAAAUAUUAUUUGAUCCGGUUUACUGCUCUUUGAAGCACGAUAAAAAUCUAGCAACAAUUCCGUAAAAAGAACAUAUUGUUGUAGACUAUUUUUAUCUGACAGAGAGACUAGGGCCGGCGGCAGAGAGAGAGAGGGGAGAGAUGUGUGUUUGUAGAAUUGUAGGGGAAUGUAUGUGUUGUUAUCCCUCCUACAUUGUGCCUUUAUUUAUAGUAGUAAAGGGAGAGAAGAUAUUCCUUCUCCUCCAAGUAAUACAAGUUGUAAUAGGAAAGGAUAACUAGAAUCAAAUCUAAUCUAGGAUUUACACAAUCACACUUAUUCUAUGAAUGUUUACAACACAUAUAUGUUACAAAAUUGAUUGAAAAAAAAAUAUAACAGAAGUCUACUCAAUUCUUAUUAAAGCAUGCAAAUUUCAAUCUUUUGACCUCCUCUAUUGGUAUCAACAAUAUCUAACUGCUUUCCUUAUAUGUAGUAAUAAAAUUUUCUUAUAUGCUUUCAUUAUUGUUCCCUUUCCUACGUCAUGGUUUCCCCGAAUCUGUUUAUUUCUAAUCUAGCAUUCCUUUACAUGUCCACAUAUUUGCCUUCACUCCUCAUUGCAAGUAAAAGCCAAAAAAGUAGAAUUGCAAUAAGCAGAAAAAUCGAAGAAAUCAAAGAUUUACCUUAAAUAUGAAAAACGAAUUUGAGACAAUAAUAGGUUUCUUAGACCUUCCACCAUAUGUUACCAUGGUCCUGCCGCGCCUAUAACACAAACAAAUAAUAUUUACAAAUGAAUAUUAGAUUUGAAAAUCACUAAAAAAAAAGGGUUUCCUUCUUCAAAACAUGUAGGACUGUAAGUCUGCAAACCAUACCUCCAAAAAAGUUAAGAACCAAAAAAGCAGCAUUGCCUCCAACACAGUUAAAUCCCAAAGGAAGUUCAGUUAAAUCAGUUUAAAUGGAAAAUGAUUAGUCAAACUCAAACAACUAAAUGGAGGAAAAAUCAAAUCGUAAUAUACAAAUUAAUUAUAGUCAGUUCCAAACUUCCAGAAGACCCUUGACAUCAUAACUGUAGAAAGCAGAUAGUGCGGUAAAUUAAAAUAAGAUCCUUUACAAGAAAAUUUAUUUUUUCUGGACUAUAAUAGUGAACUUUCAUUUAAAAAAACGAAACUGAGAUUCAAGUAUUCAAAGUUACAAUUCGUGCAGAAUGGUAAUCAUACAAUUAAAAAAAAAAUGGGCAUGCAACACUGAAACACCUGUAAUAGAAGCACACGAAGCGCUGGAAACUGGAAUUUGCCUACUAAAAAUCCAAAUCAACUCCCCUGCAAAGCAACUAAACUAUUUUCAGCAGUCUAAUAUGAACCUAAGUAAAAGAAUUACAAAAACCCAACAGUCAAAGGUCUCAUUUACCUAAAAACAAUUCGACAAUUUUAUUGCAAGUAAUAAGAAAAUCAAACAUCACUCUAUUCAUAUAUCUAUGAAGAAUGCGGUCAACAAUGACUCAAUACUAUAUUACAGUCUUGGUAAGUAUUAUGGUUCCAUGUAUGGGCAUUUUCGUAUGCGAUCUCGAAGCAUAUACAUACAAGUUUGACUGUUGGAUCGUUGAAAUUAGUUUCAUAGAAUUUGUAUCACAUCAAAACGAUAGAUUCACUAACAUUUAGAGUUUAUUUAUACUUUCAUUAAGUAUAACAUAAGAUUUUGUGGUAUCCACUAGUGUAAAUAUUUUAAAUUGAAAAUCGAAUUCAUUCAUUGUAUUCAUAUAGGGUCAAUGAGUGUAGCUCUAAAAAAAUCAUCAAAAUCAGAGUUAAAAUAACCGUUAAAUCAUGAUUUUUUGUUUUACAACCGUCGAAAAGUUUUGUUCCGUUAUUUGAUCUCUGAAUGUUUGUUUUUGCGAUUUUUUGCUGAUGCGAUCUUGAAGCAUAUACAAACAAGUUUAACGGUUUGAUCGUUGAAAUUAGUUUUGUGUAUCCCAUCAAGUUCAAUGGUGUGUGUAUAUAUAUAUAUAUUAUGUAGAUUUAAAUCUAUUUAUUUUGUACGUAUAAUUAUUAUAGUUUUUAGGGGUAUAAAAUUUAAUUUAAAAUUUAAUAUAUAUAUAUAUAUAAUUAUUAUAGUUAAUAUUUUGGGAUAUAAUUAUUAUAGUAUAUAUAAUUAUUAUAAUUAUUUUAGUUAAUAUUUUGGCGGUAUAAUUAUUUUAGUUAAUAUUUUGGAGGGUAUAAUUAUUAUAGUAUAUAUAAUUAUUAUAGUUAAUUUAAUAUAUAUAUAUAUAUAAUUAUUAUAGUAUUUUUUAGGAUUAUUAAAUUAUUAAAUUAAUAUUCUGCUGAUCGUGUAUUGUGUUACCCACGUGUAUACCCGAACCAACCCAUUAUCUUAACAGGUGCUUUUCGGGUUACCCGAUAACACCCGAUUCAUUAUCAUGUCGAUCCGAACACUGUUAAAGAAGAGAAUGCUUUGAAUAAUAAUAUAUUCUUCUCAAUAAGAGGAACUUAUAGGUGUACAACCCUAACAUAAAAGGAAAGAAAACUAAUUACAAGUGAUUACAUGGGAUUACAUAUCAAUUAGGGAUCCUACCUAAAAUACAAAAGUCAACACUCCCCCUCAAGUUGGUGCAUAUAUGUCGUUCAUGCCCAACUUGUGUAAGAAACUUGAAAACUUGUGACUCGAAACAGCUUUUGUGAGGAUAUCUGCCAACUGAUCUUCUGUUCUUAUCGCCGGUACUUCAAUUAUUUUCCCUUCCAAUUUUUCUUUGAUGAAGAAUCGAUCAACUUCAACAUGCUUUGUUCUAUCAUGUUGUACCGGAUUAUGUGCAAUGUCAUGAGCCGCUUUAUUAUCACAAAAUAAUUUCAUGGGAUGAUCAUGUUGUAUACCCAAAUCGCUUAACAUAAGCUUAAGCCACAAAAUUUCACAAAUCCCCAAAGCCAUACCUCUGUAUUCUGCUUCUGCACUGGAACGGGCAACCACAUUCUGUUUCUUACUUCUCCAUGUAACCAAGUUACCCCCAACAAACGUAAAGUAACCUGAUGUUGAGCGUCUAUUGAUGCGUAAAAUAACUAAACACACAAAUUAAACCCUCUUUUUAUCAAAUGUAGUAAAGUAUGUAAGUAGGGAUCGUUCUAGGCCGGGGAUUAGGAGGGAUUGCUAAACACUUGAAAACUGACUUAAAAACAUAAAAACAAAAUUUAAAACACUAAACUAGACUCAAAGAAUGCAAAACUAUACUUUAAAAUACUUAAACAAACAUAAAACUCAAAACAGCAACCUAAUGACUCAAAACUGCCUAAAAACCACUUUCUGGGCAGUUUUGAGAACCUAACAAGAACUUGGACGAAGUUGGAUGAAAACUUGAAUCAAAACACUUAGAAACACAAAUCAAAACACUUUCUAACUAAUCUAAGACUUCAAAAUAAAGGGGGAUUUGUUUUGGACGAAAAUUGAAAACAAAACAGAAACUUUAAAACAAAACAGAUUGUAAAACGUUUUUGGAUGAAAAGGAUGGAUAAAAGGCUAGUUAGGAGGUUCUUCUCCACACAUGACACACUUGCAAACAAAAUGAUUUUCAGUUGUUCUUUCAAUAAAUUAUGAAACUCAACACCCCAAGUUAAUUAGAUACGCUUAAAUUAACCUUCAAGUUCUCCUUAAGUUAAUGAAUUGGAUGGAAAAUCGCAUACAACAAUUCAAAGCAUUCCUCAAAGGUUCCUUACGUGAUGAGCACAAUAAAGACACAAUGAGAACUAUAAGUGUUGACGAGGCAUUCGUUACUAUGAUGAGCAUGAAACUAGUGCCAAGAAUUCAUUCAACGCGAUCGUUUUCAAGCGACCUUCACUACUUGUGAUUAUAAGAUUGUAACUAUUAGGUGAAACUCCCUCAUAAUCUAGCAUCAUAUUCAUGCAUGAAAACUAAGCGUGCACUCUCAAUCAACAUACACAAAUAAGUUAUCAAUCAAGUAGAUGAACGAAUUGAAUCCGCAACUUAUGAAAUAACAACUGAAUGUAAUCAAAUCAUAUUGCAAGCAUGUACAUGGUUUCGAAUCACCCCCCAACUAAGGGGGUUUAGUUCCUCAUUCUUGCAAUACAAAGAUACAUAAAAUUAGACAUUAAAAUCAAAGGAAAGAAAACACCUAAAAUGCUCCAACUUGGAAAGCAAGUGCAUCAAUGGAUCUCCCUUCCUCCUUGUUGCGGCAUAAAGCUUGUGGACAGAUUUUUGGGUGGAUUUAUGGUGUAGAAUGGAUGGGGAAUGAUAUGGAGGGGUUUACGGUGAGUGUGGAAGAGUGUUUGAUGGUUGGAAGGUGGUGGAGAACUAGGCAAAGAGGGUGGAAGAAGGUGGAGUGGCUGUUAUGUUUUCUAGGCACUAGAAUGGUGUUUUUGGGGUGUUUUGCUUCCUAGGGUGUGUAUGGACGAAUUUCUGUGAUAAAAUGAUGAAUAUGGGGGAUUGUUCUUUGGCCAAGGGGUGUAAACAUGUAUUUAUAGGCCUCAAAAACCUUAGAAAAUCAGGUUAGGUUAAGGAUGAAAUGCAUGGCAAUUUGUGUGUGUGGUGUGCAAUGGUCCAAGGGUGAAAAUGAAGUAAUGAUGCAAAGUGUGAAGGGUAAAAUGGAGUGGUGUUGUAGCUAGGGAGCAUGAAUGAUUAUGUACAUUGCAUAGAGAUGGAAAGGGAGGUGAAAUGUGUCAACAAAUGGGUCAAAGGUGCAACAACAUGUGUUGCACAUGGCAUUGGAUUCCAAAUGUGAGUGAUGGAGCAUCAAUUGGUGCAUGUAAUGGAUGUAAAUGUUGUCUAAAAUCUAAUGAGUGAAGGGAACAAGAUGUAUCAAGCAAUUGAGUGUAAUAAUUAAAUGAAUUGAAGCAUGAAAUUAGAAAUUAUGUAGGGGACAAGAGUGAUCAAGCAUGGCAUGGAAUCCAAAGGGAAUUCUAUGUGGUUUGCAUGGCAAGGAAUGCAAGUUGGGGUGACAGAUUUUUGGGCUGUUUUCUUCAUCUUUUGGACCAUAAUUCUUCAUAUUCUUGGCCUCUUUAGUUCUCAAAUUCGUCCAUCCACUUGGCCCAUGCAUUUGCUAUCCAUUCCAAGCCCGAAACAUGCUCCAAAGGCCUCCAAAAUGCAUCUUCUUGCAUACUUUGUCCAUAAAAUCUGAAAACACACGAAAAUGACUUUAAACAUUAAAAUAACUAAGCAAACACGACAUAAAUGCACUAGAACAAGCCAACUAAGUCGCAUAAAUGUGCUCCUAUCAUCUAUCAUCAAUGGAACCUGCCCAGUCUGCAUCAGUAUAACCUUCAACACUAAAGUGAUUAUUCCUCUUAAACAAAAUUCCUUUGCCCGGACUUCCCUUCAAAUAUCGCAAUAUUCUCAUCACGGCAUUCAUAUGUUGUUCUCCAGGAUCAUGCAUGUAUUGACUCACUACACUCAAGGCAUAAGCAAGGUGCGGUCUUGUGUGUUCCAAAUACAUCAACCGGCCUACUAACCUUUGGUAUCUUCCUUUGUCAACUGGUACUUGAUUAGGAUCAACACUAAGCUUCAAUCCUUCUUCUAAUGGUGUAGCUACUGGUUGACAAGCUGACAUGCCAGUUUCGUGCAACAAAUUAAUAAUAUACUUCCUCUCAGACAAGAAAAUUCCAGAACUGCUUCUCGACACCUCAAUCCCUAAAAAAUAUUUCAGGGAUCCAAGGUCCUUCAUUUCAAAUUCUGUAGACAGGUAUCUUUGCAAGGCUGCACGUUCUUCCGGAUCAUUACCUGUUACCACCAUAUUGUCUACAUACACAAUAAGUGCAGUAAGCUUCCCAUUCUGUCUUUUCAGGAACAAAGUAUGAUCAGAGUUACUUUGUCUGUAACCAAAUGCUCUCAUAGAUUUUGUGAAUCUUCCGAACCAUGCUCGAGGGGACUGCUUCAAGCCAUACAAGAAUUUCUUCAACCUGCACACUUUUCUUUUGUAUUUAUCUGGAGCAUUACAUCCCGGUGGAAGAUCCAUAUAAAUCUCUUCUAUUAAGUCUCCAUGCAAGAAGGCGUUCUUCACAUCGAACUGUUGUAAGGCCAAUUAAGAUUUGCAGCCAAGGACAACAAAACACGAACUGUGUUGAUCUUGGCUACAGGUGCAAAUGUAUCUGUGUAGUCGAUUCCAUAUUUUUUAGUGUAUCCUUUUGCUACCAGUCUUGCCUUGAAACGAUCCACUGUCCCAUCUGUUUUGUAUUUCACAGUAUAGACCCAUUUGCAUCCCACAAGUUUCUUGCCAACUAGCAAAUCUGUGAUCUCCCAGGUAGCAUUCUUCUUCAAAGACUUCAACUCUUCAUUCAUUGCUACUUGCCAACGUGGAUCAGUUAAAGCCUCAUGCACACUGUUAGGAAUAGAUACAGUAGAUAAUUGAUGUACAAACGACUUAUUUGAUUCUGACAGGUGACUGGUAGACACAUAAUUACUUAACGGGUAUAACACAUUAGACUCAGGGUUGGGCUUACUCACCGAAUACCUAGUUUUGCAUUUAGGGUCAGCUUCAUAAGUAAGUUUAGGAAUACCUCGGUUGACGCGAUCAGGGAGACGAUGUGGUGGUGGUGCAUCCGGGAUCGAAGACGAUUGAUUAUGGUUAUUGGGACUCAAGAUCGACUGUGAGGUAGCUGGAGACACAGGGCUGUCUAGUGGUGAGGAAACUGGCAGUGAGCUAUCAGGCAAUGAGUUAUCUGGCGAUGUCGACUCGUCCCUUUCAAGGUUUUCAACAUUGUUUCCAUGUGAAUGAUCACCACUUGUCUCCAAGACAUUACCACUUAAUUCCAAUUCAUUCACAUCAUUAUUUUCGUGUGAAUGAUCACCACUUAUUUCCAAGACAUCACCACUUAAUUCCAAAUCAUUCACUCUAUCUAUAUCUGGAAUAGUAUAAUCAAGAGUUUGAACUUCUUUCUGAUUCUCCCCCUGAAGUGAAGACUCGGGAUUGGCAAAGUACAUAUCAUUCUCAUGAAACGCAACAUCCAUAGUGACAAACAACUUAUUCGUCGGUGGGUGAUAACAACGGUAUCCUUUCUGCCUUGAUGCAUACCCCACAAACACACAUCGUAAGGCUCGAAGUUCAAGCAUACUUCGAUGUUGUUUAUGAAGAUGAACGAAGGCCAAACAACCAAACACAUGAGGUGGAAGAUUAGGGACUGCAAGAACAUCAACAUGUGAAGAAAGUGCCUGAAGAGGUGUUUGAAAAUCAACCGAUCGGGAUGGAACACGAUUAAUGAGAUACGCAGCUGAGGUGAGAGCUUCUCCCCAAUAGGAUAACGGGAGACGAGCCUCGAGUAAAGAAGCACGAACAACCUCCAGAAGCUGACGGUUCUUUCGUUCGGCAACCCCAUUUUGUUGUGGAGUAUAUGGACAUGUAGUUUGAUGAACAAUCCCAUGAUGAUCAAGAAAGGCACGAAGUUCAAAGUUAACAUAUUCGCCACCAUUAUCACACCUGAGAACCUGUAUUGUGACUUAUAUUGUACUUGUACCAUUUUGUAAAACUGUUGAAACAAAAAAGUAACUUCACCUUUGGAUUCAUCAAACAAACCCAAGUCAUACGUGUGCAGUCAUCAAUAAAAGUAACGAACCAAUGAGCACCACCAAAUGUAGCAGUUUUAGAUGGACCCCAAACAUCAGAAUGAAUUAUCAUAAAUGGAACAGAACUUUUAUUCAAACUGGAUGGAAACGAAGCACGAUGACUUUUAGCUAGUUCACAAACACCACAUUUAAAGCUAGAAACAUCAUGCUUAACAAAUAGGCUAGGAAACAACCUCUAUAGAUAGCCGAAAGAAGCAUGUCCAAGUCGACGAUGCCACAACCAAACCUCCGAAGCUUUAUUCCGAUCCCCCGGAUUUCCGUCCACUACAAGAGCUUGAGUCAACAUUCGAGAACUGUUUGAUGUCAGCUCCAAGUAGUAGAGCUUCCCUUUCCUAAUACCAUAACCAAUCGUCUUGCGAGUCCGAAUGUCCUUAAAAACACAAAAAGAAGGCCAAAAAAUCACAAGACAAUGCAGGAUGACAGUUAUUUGAGCAACAAAUAAUAAAUUAUAGUCAAGAGAAGGCACAACAAGUACGGUAUCAAGACUAAGGGUAUCUGAAAGGGAGACGGUUCCUUCCCCGAUAACAGGGGCAGGAUUACCAUUGGCGACACUGACGACAGUUUUGGUGGAUGGUUUUAGGGUUUCUACCUGUCUAGAAUCACAAGUCAUAUGUUCAGUAGCACCGGAAUCAAUUAUCCAUGUAUUAUUCGUAACAGAUGCAGAAACCUUUAAGCUUUACCAUCGUUGUUUGUAUGUUCAGAAGCUACCUUAGCUUUGGCAAUCAAUGCACACGACUCAUUACAGCGGGGAUGACGAGUCCAAUGUGUCAUUGCUCUGCGUGAGUUGAGUGCAACGUCUGAGGUGAUUGAUAGGGCCAAGAUUCCAAACCAACUAGGUCAACAAUGUGAGAUCCCUGGAACAAAAACAAACAGUAACACAAAAAAGGACAACCUUUUUUUCUUUUUCUUUUUUCUUUAUUUUUCUUUUUUUCUUUUUUUCCUUUUUUUCUGAAUUCCUUCAGAACACGCAAAGCAAAAUAAAUGCACGUGGGACUUCCUUCAAAACACGCAAAUCAAAAAAUAAAUGCAGGGAUCAUAUCAAAUCAAUUUAGCAGAACACAGGUUGGGCUGCAGAUGGUACGAUGAGUCAAAUGCGUAGAUGCGAGGAAGAGACAGGUCGGUUUCUGGUGCAGAAGAAAUUGUGGUUGUCAACCGGGAUUUGCAACGACAAGGUUUCUAGAUUAGGAUCUCGGUUUGUGGGUGUGCGAUGCAGCAACAGAUGGUAGUGGGUGACUGCAGGGAUCGACUCAGUGAACUCGGAUCAGCAACGACGGCGUCGCUCGCUGGUGUGACGGUGCACUGCACAACUGGCUGCGCAACUGGUGAACUCGGAUCAGUAACGACGGCGUCGCUCGCUUGUGUGACGGUGCGCUGCACAACAGGCUGUGCAACUGGUGGUUCUUAUUUCUGCGCACAACGAGACUUUUUUCUUUUUUUCUAACUUAGGCUCUGGCGCCAAGAAGAGAAUGCUCUGAAUAAUAAUAUAUUCUUCUCAAUAAGAGGAACUUAUAGGUGUACAACCCUAACAUAAAAGGAAAAAAAACUAAUUACAAGUGAUUACAUGAGAUUACAUAUCAAUUAGGAAUCCUACCUAAAAUACAAAAGUCAACAGUUAAUUUCGUAUCGGGUUAUCGGAUCGUGUCAGGAAUUGCCAGGCCUAGAUGUUGAUAUAGCAUGGUUGAGUUUAUUGAGGAGGCCACGAAAGGGAGCCAAGAAAUUCUGUUUUCUGACAGAGUCAGCAAGCAAAGUGAGAUCUUGGGUGGCAUCGUCAUCUGAAUCUGGAAGGCCAUCUGGGACGGCUUCGAACCGGAAAUCAGGCAAGCCAUCUAGGGAGUCAGGUCCUAGAGAUUUAAGAAACUGCUUGUGAUUGAACUCCGCGUUGACAAAGGUAAUAUGAAAACCUCUACUGUGCAGGAGUUUUGCGAAUUUAAGCAUUGCCUUGAUAUGGCUUUGAGUCGGAACUGGAAUGCAAACAGCGUGAGGCUUAGUAACUUCUGUUGUGGCAUCCAUUUUAGAUUAUGUGUUUGCAUUGCAGUGCAGGUUAUUCAUAGUACUACUGUGCUAGUAGUGAGCUACUUUUCAACAUAUAUGUGGUUCAAGUUGAAUGGUAGAUUUUCUUGUAGUUGAAUUUAGAGGGCAUGUAUGCGUUAAGAUCGUAGGGAAGGUGCUUUAAGAUAAUUUGGUUAGUAAUUUGCUUUCCAAUCAAAGCUGCCGACGAUAAGUGACGCUGGACUUAGUGGCUUCUUCUGUUGUGUCAUAUAGCAUUAAAGAAUCACUUUUGCUUUUCUGUAUAUUGCUGAAGAGAAAUGAUAAACGCACUCUUUUUCUCCUUCUGCACAACUUGUUAGAUCCUUUCUGUUGUUUUGUUUGAUUUAUUCAGCCUGAUGACAAGAAAUAAAGAGGGUAUGUGAGAGACUAAAAAUGGUGUGAAAAUCAGUUCUUCUAUUUGUGUUGAUAUUAAACUAUUUGAAAUGUUUUUGUAGGUUAUAUAUAUAUAUAUAUAUGAGCAACAAUGCGCUAGUUCUUCUAUUCGUGUUGAUACUUUUGGACUUUUAAUCAAAAUUUUCUAAGACAAAUAAGAUCAAUUUAAUUAAAAACCGUAACUAAAUAAAACUGAAGAUGUAGUAGCAGGCUAAACAUGUUGCUAGUUCUUUUGAACCGAUCACUGUUAGGCAUGCAAUACAUGUCUCUUAUUAGUUCCAAUGCACAGCAUCUAGAUCUUUUUAGACUGAAUUUGAUUCACUAAUUUUUCCAAGUUUGCAGAUGAAGAACCCUGUGGACCAGUGGCUUCCUCUGCCAAUUUUUUCCACUCCAUGGCCUUAUUCUUCAUUCGCGUACCCUUCUCUCCCUCCAUUAACUCUCUAACAAGCUUCAACAUCAUCUCUCUUGACACCAUUAUUGAUCUCCAUACCAAUGCCCCAUUUUUCGCAAGUAUAGUGACAGUUCGUUGGCUGAUCAGAAAAGAACGGCCAACACAGCAUAGGCACUCCUGCAGACACACUUUCCAGCGUAGAAUUCCAACCACUGUGUGUCAAAAAUCCUCCAACUGAUGGAUGGUUAAGGACUAGCUCUUGAGGGCACCAACUCGCUAUUAGACUUCUCCCCUUAGUUUCAUCCACAAACUCGGAUGGCAAAAUUGCUGAUCUACCAACUACCAAGUCAGGCCUAAUUACCCAGAAGAAACAAACCUUGCUAUUUGCAAGUCCACAACCAAAUUCCACAAGUUGUUCCGGGGUCAUGACCGUUAUGCUGCCGAAAUUCACAUAAACAACUGAGUUUGGCGCCUUAUCGUUCAGCCAUUGGAGGCACUCCGUUUCUUCUUUCCACAGGCUAUAUCCCAGGGACUUCAAAGGGUGUUGUGGUAUCUGAUUGAGAAGUAACUGGAGAGGGCCAACAGCGUAAACAGGUGGAGACAUAGAUGAGAGAGCAUCCAAAACAUCUAUCUCCAAUGCAUCAAAGGUAUGUACAACAAUUGCUGAAGCUUCAUGUAGUCUGCCUAUUCCUUCAAGUAUGAGAUUCCAGAUUGCAUCAUUGGGAUUUGUUGUUACAAAGUUGUUAGGAAGAUCCCUUAAACGAAUACUUUCCAUUCCUGGUAUCCAGUCUACCUCUUGGUCUAAAAAUCCAUUCGUGAAGCACCUCUCAUCUACAAACAGCCAAGUAAUGCUUUAUUAGUAAAAAAUAUCUUCAUUUGCUUGAUUAACAUAUACAAACUCUCUCAUGGACAAUUUGUCUUUUUUUGCCAAUGCAACAAUUGUCGUUCAUGAACUUUGAAAUUAGGACGUCUCCAACAAAUUCGAAAUUGGGUGCUACUAGAUUAAUUGGCCAUUAGCAACCACUGUUGUUGAUUAAUUAAAAAAUUAGAACUAAUAACCAAAUUGUGAAACUGUUAUGAGCACUUCAGAAAGUAACCAUGCCUUCUUCCCCCUCUUUAUUUUUUUGGGUAAUUACUUAUGUUGAUUACCACUUUUCUCACACUGCACAUCCUUAUUUAUUUUUUACUAUUGAGUUGGUUGAAUAAAUCAAGGCAUAAUCAAGUAACAAAAAUAAGCAUGGUGAAAAUAUUUCCCUUAUUUUUUUUCACUAGGGAGGAGUGUAAGAUGAAUUUUUGUAGAUUCAAUAAUAGUUUCCUAAAAUUUGACCCCAAAAAAAAAAAAAAAUAGUUUCCUAAAAUCAAACAAUUGCUUUAAUUCUUUACCUUUGAGGGGUGCUAGUCCUCUAUCCACCAAAGCAGGAUACUGCAUAUAGCCCACGGUGCUGCUUGCUGAAAAAGUAAACAAGAGAAUGACGGGGAUGCCAAGUUGUUGAGCUGAAGGGGUUGUGAAUGGCAUGAAACCAUCUGAAAAAUGCAUGUCACUGGAGGAGUACUACUACUAUUGUUGAGUUUCUUUAUCAGAUCAACGAAAGGUGCCAAGAAGUUGUUUGUGACGGAAUCUGCAAGCAAAUUGAGGUCUUGGGUGGCAUCUUCAUCCGAAUCCGGUAGGCCAUCUGGGAUCGUUUCAAACCGAAAAUCAUCAGGCAAGCCAUAGAGGGACUCGGGUCCUUGAGAUUUAAC
rnacentral:lncRNA from 1 species